rnacentral:rRNA from 1 species
CUACGUGCCAGCAGCCGCGGUAAUACGGAAGGUUCGGGCGUUAUCCGGAUUUAUUGGGUUUAAAGGGAGCGUAGGCCGGAGAUUAAGUGUGUUGUGAAAUGUAGACGCUCAACGUCUGACUUGCAGCGCAUACUGGUUUCCUUGAGUACGCACAACGUUGGCGGAAUUCGUCGUGUAGCGGUGAAAUGCUUAGAUAUGACGAAGAACUCCGAUUGCGAAGGCAGCUGACGGGAGCGCAACUGACGCUGAAGCUCGAAGGUGCGGGUAUCGAACAGGAUUAGAUACCCUGGUAGUCCGCACAGUAAACGAUGGAUGCCCGCUGUUGGUACCUAGUAUCAGCGGCUAAGCGAAAGCAUUAAGCAUCCCACCUGGGGAGUACGCCGGCAACGGUGAAACUCAAAGGAAUUGACGGGGGCCCGCACAAGCGGAGGAACAUGUGGUUUAAUUCGAUGAUACGCGAGGAACCUUACCCGGGCUUGAAUUGCAGACGAACGAUUCAGAGAUGAUGAGG